AACUGUUAACCUGGAGUGUCCCUCCCAUCUUUCUGUUCUUGAGUCCUUUAAUGAUGACGAACUUUCUGGCUCUAGCUUCAAAUAUGCUUUAUGUUUAUUUUCUUUUUGUAUUCUUUUGAGCUUGGAUCUAUUUGGGGCAACACUUAAUAAUUUGUCAAAUCCUGAUGAGAUACUAGGAGAAAGAGCUGCUUGAGAAGCAUAAUGCUUGGCUUAAUGAAGAGUUGACUGCUAAGGUUGAUAAUCUUAUUGAGCUGCGAAGAACGCAUACUGAUCUUGAGGCUGAUAUGUCAGCAAAGCUCACAGAAGUUGAGAAAAAGUUUAAUGAGUCCUCUAACUCUCUAAAUUGGCAUAAGGAGAGAUUGAGAGAACUCGAGACAAAGCUGAUGUCUUUACAAGAGGAAUUGUGCUCUUGUAAAAAUGCUGCUGCAGCUACAGAGGAACAAUACUCUACUGAGCUUUCAACAGUGAGUA